rfam:Paenibacillus dendritiformis C454 PDENDC1000096, whole genome shotgun sequence.
AACCUCAUACGUGCUCUUUUUCGUAUAAUCCCGGGAAUUGGCCCGGGAGUUUCUACGAGAUCACCGUAAAUGAUCUGGCUACGAAGGAUUUUGGCACCGGA